GAACGAGGGUGGCAGACAGGAAGAAAGAUGGUGAAAGGUCAACACGCCCCAGUGUGAUCCUGGGCAUCGGUGUGUGACCAUCGCAAAGUGGAUGUGGAAUGAGAUGCCCCCUGGCAAUGAAGACCCUGCCCUGCAAGGAGAGGUCAACGCUGGCAUUCGGAACACUCCCAUCCAGGCAUCAGGCUGGACCUCAGGCUCAAGAGCACUCCGUACAUGAAUGGGAAGACCCAGCAUUCUCCAGAGCCCCCUUCUGCUGGCCACCUGCUUCCUGUGCUUAGCUUCACCAGUUAACUGCCUUUCAGCUCUCUGCUGCAUUACCCUGUCUCCAGUCCUGGAGCCUGGAAGGAUGAGAGCAGGGGGUGGGUGGACGGGGAGGGGGAGGGGAAGGCGGAAGAGAAGGGGAGGGGAGGGGGAGAGGGAGAACAAAGGCCUUCAGACGGAGGGUUCUCCACCCUCAGUGUGUGCUCAGUCCUCAGGUAAUUUUGGCAAAACGCAGAGUUAAAGACGCUGUGAGUGUCGCUGUGGACCUCUCUGAAUCACCGGUGCUCAAAACGUGCGGGCAGGCCAGUGGCUCUCCUCUGUAAGCAGGGGGUGAGGGCGCCUGGGUGUCCGGGGGCAGCUUUGAGACUCCAGCAUCGCACACUGUCCCGGCAUGGGGCUUGAAUGAACGAAGGCCUGCUGAGUUAUUGUCUCUCUGCCUCACUGUCCCCGCCUAGCUCAGGGCCUUAGCUUCUCUCUCCUGGACGAACUGGUCCCCCUCCCACCAGCCCGCGUUCCACACUUCUGCUAGAAUGAGUUUUUAACGUGCAAAUGUGCUGUGACUUCCCUUUGGCUCUGUACCAGACCCCUGAUUAAACUCUUGGAAGGCUUCCCACUGCCUCAGAUGCAUUUCAAAGCCCCUCAGAGGCCCAGCCUCAGCUCCCCUUCUUGGUCUCAUCUUAUACCAUCCUCUACAAGCCCUGCUGGCCAGUCCUACCAAAUACCCUGCAUUCCCUGGUGAUGCAAUACAGGCUCAAGCCUUUAUGCUAUUGCCCGUGUCCCUGUUUAUGCCUUGCCUGCCACAUCUCUGCCAGUUGGACUGGGCCCCUUAUUGAGAACUACCAUGCUCAGUGGAAGCAUCGUGUCCUCUAGGUCGCUUUCCCGGAUCCGGUAGAGCCAGGUGCUUCCUUUUUGCGCUCCCACAACGCUCGGACUCCUAGGAGGCAGCCCUCAAAGGCUUGACUGGCUUUCCGGCUUUGGCCACUAGAGGGCAGUAGAGCGCAGCGGGCGUCUGGCGGCAGCCCCGGGAGGCUGCGAGCGCUGGGAGGCCCCGGCUGCAGGCUGGGCUCCAGCUCUGCUGCGUCCUCACACCGGUCGCUGGGUGGGCCUCCCUUCUGGAAUACUGCACAACCCUUCUGGGUCUGCAGGCCUCUGCCGUGCCUCUCCGCUCCUUUACACGCAGGACUGUGCCACUACCUCCCUUGACAUUUUUAUCACCUUUCCUCUUUGCCACCCUUACCCACCCUUUCUCAAGAACACUCAGUAGCUCAUUAUUAUUUCCAUAUUAACCCAAAACUUCUCACUUUGGGCUUUUGUUUAUUAAAGUGUUGCAACUUCAAGAACAAUAAAAAAAUGAAAGAAAAAA
ensembl:lncRNA